rnacentral:rRNA from 1 species
ACUACGGGAGGCAGCAGUGGGGGAUAUUGGACAAUGGGGGGAACCCUGAUCCAGCGACGCCGCGUGAGUGAAGAAGUAUUUCGGUAUGUAAAGCUCUGUCAGCAGGGAAGAAAGAAAUGACGGUACCUGACCAAGAAGCCCCGGCUAACUACGUGCCAGCAGCCGCGGUAAUACGUAGGGGGCAAGCGUUAUCCGGAAUUACUGGGUGUAAAGGGAGCGUAGACGGUUAAUGAAGUCUGGAGUGAAAGGCCGGGGCCCAACCCCGGGACUGCUCUGGAAACUAUUGAACUUGAGUGCAGGAGAGGUAAGCGGAAUUCCUAGUGUAGCGGUGAAAUGCGUAGAUAUUAGGAGGAACACCAGUGGCGAAGGCGGCUUACUGGACUGUAACUGACGUUGAGGCUCGAAAGCGUGGGGAGCAAACAGGAUUAGAGACCCCAGUAGGC